ACCGACGCACCUUCUCUUCUUGGCGACUGAAUUAGGUCACGGAUUGGAGGGGAUCAGUGAGUUGUGCUUGGGUUUUCGGGUGGAGACCAGAGGAGUUGUGCUGGAUCAGUAAUCUUUCAGCUUGAUUCCAAUCUUGAUCCGAUCGGUGAGCAGCUCACCUGGGUUUCGGCAGAACCUCCCUCCAGCAGCAUCUUGUUUCAACAGCAACUUGAUUAGAGCAAUGAGGUUCUGUUGCUGUGCUGUUGACAAAGGUUUUGGAUCAGUGAGGUGAUUUCCAGCAGCAUUCCUUGAUCCAGCAAUCAACAGGGGCUGUGAAUCGAGGACUCUGAUUCGAGACAGACGUCUCGACGUUGGAUUUGGCGUGAUACUUCCUGCUAUUUGAGGCGGGUACCCUUUGACUUAUCUUGUUGAUAUUGUCUUGUGAUAUGUGCAGUUUAUAUAUGUUUACUAGUAAUUGGUAGAUCUUUCUCUUCUCUGGUUAUAGUUUAUUCUAUACCUGUAGGCGAUUAUUAGCGAUUGGUAGUUAGCAUAUUCCCUGGUUUAGUUAUUUGAUACUUGAUACAUGUGGCUACGAUUAGCAUCUAUACCUUAGUCUAGCAUGCUUUUCUUUCUUGCUAUGCUUAUCUGUGUUCAUAGAGAUGCAUAUCUAUAGCGCUCUACUCUACUGGAUUAGUUGCUUUACAUGUGUGAUA